CCAUCAACUUCCCUUUCUUCUAGUAACACCGCACUCAACACCAAAUUGGAUGCUGCGAUGUACAAUAACAACUUUGCCUUUUCUCCUAGGCUUGCCAAAACUGCCAUGUUUUCUAGGUGCACUUUCAACUCAUCGAAUGCUUUCUGCUCUUGAGCCCCCCAAAAAAAUUUACUCUUCGCUACUAGUAACUUGAAGAAAGGCAAACUUCUUUCUACUGACCUCAAAAUGAAACGCCCCAGAGCUGCAAUUCUUCUUGUUAAUUUCUGGAUAUCUAUUUUUGUUCUUGGCUGCUUCAUUUUUCUGAUUGG
rnacentral:lncRNA from 1 species